rnacentral:siRNA from 1 species
CAUGUAUAGUCUCGGGCAUGGUAC